rnacentral:misc_RNA from 1 species
GAACUGCGAUAAGUAAUGUGAAUUGCAGAAUUCAGUGAAUCAUCGAGUCUUUGAACGCACAUUGCGCCCCCUGGCAUUCCGGGGGGGCAUGCCUGUCCGAGCGUCAUUGCUGCCCUUCAAGCCCGGCUUGUGUGUUGGGUCGUCGUCCCCCCCGGGGGACGGACCCGAAAGGCAGCGGCGGCACCGUGUCCGGUCCUCGAGCGUAUGGGGCUUUGUCACCCGCUCGAUUAGGACCGGCCGAGCGCCCGCCGGCGUCAAACCCCCAAUCUUUCUAAGGUUGACCUCGGAUCAGGUAGGGAUACCCGCUGAACUUAAGC